rnacentral:piRNA from 1 species
UUAUGGACCACAGGGCUUAUGGCCUUC